ensembl:lncRNA
CUGGGCUGACUGUCAUGCGGCCAUCGAUGGCUUGCCAAAACUCAUUAAGAGGUCCUCUGCCCAAAACAAUUGCCCAUCCCUGUGCUACAUCCAUGAGAGGAUAAAGGGGACAGAGUUGAAGAGCCUUAUGCCAGGGCAGUGAGUAGAGGGUAGUGUUGUGCAGUGACAGGCGGUGUUACCCACAGAUCCCACCUUACCAGCUUUCAUGUCUUAUUCCUGAUCCUUGAUAGAAACUGGUGGAAGAACACAAUGACACCACGGCCCUCUUGGAAAAGCCUUUCCACCAGGACUUGGAGAAGCUGAGAAUGAGGCCAGAGCAGAAGAAGAAUGAGAAAGAAGGGAAACAACAAGAAAAAUACCCUUCUUCAUCUUCAUCCACCUCCUCACACACCCAAGAGAAACCUAGCCAAGCAUGUGACCAGGUUUUAGCGCUCUUUGCAGAGAGUAUCAAAAUACUGAAGCAGACUGAAAAGGUGAUGGCCUCAAGGAUUAUCCUUCUGAAUCCUCAGUUCCGGUGUGACAGGAAUAAGAGCAAAUGCCUAAAUACCUCUCCGCUCCUCACACUCUUGAGAGAUGUGAAUGACCGGCUCCAAACUCAUGCAAAGGCAGCAGGGCUGCUGGAAAGCCAGCAGGAGAAAGGCACAGGAAGUUCUUUCCGGGACAUAUCAGACGUUCUGAUGACUCAUAAAGGGGAACUUAAACCAGUUCAUCCUGAAGCCCUUUCUGCAAGAGAGUUUGUCAUAUACCAGUAUGGCAUCUCCAUCCUACAGUUUCUACAACUUCACAUCAAUGCUCCGGAAAUUAACCUCUGCAUUGCCACCAGCAUACCUCGCAGUAAUGCUGUGGGCAACGCUUUCCGAAACUCCUUCUUUUACCAGAAUUUCGAGAAGAAAUUAUUUGUUUUAAGAGAGUGUCUGGGCUCUGUGGGCAGCUUCCUCCUUCUGCUGGUGCAUUGUCUGGCUCACAUCGCUGCCGCGGACCUCAGCCAGGACUCCAGCCCAGCCUUUCUGAGAUUGUUUUAUCAGGCACUAAAGGCCUGUCUCAGUGAAACCUUCUCUCUCAGACUCCAGAUGUCAGCACUUCUGCAGGACAAUAAAUCCUCUGAGAGGAUAAGUGAGAUUCUGCUGAAGGGAGAACCACUCAUGGAAGGGAACAUAAAUCUUCUCUCUCAGCUUUUUGAUGCAAAAGUGGAAUCAUCCACAGAGACUGAGACCUCUGAGGAGUGUAAGAGGAACCUCUUGCUCCAUGCAAAUCUUGAGGACUUGCUGAAGAAUACACUGUCCGAAAAGAAAAAGGGAUGUUUCCUCCCCAUCUCAGCUGACUGCAAAGAAAAGAGCUCUUCUGGGAGGACAAGCUUGCGAGAGGAAAACUGUUCUUCCUUCAGUCCUGCGGAAAUGGAAGAGAAGCUGGAUGCAUUAACCGAAGAGCUGGUGAAAAUCAUGAAAGAGGAGCAUCGCUUUUUAAGCAGUGCUGCCAAUGAUGAUUUGCCUUUCGAUCAGCUAGAAAUAAUUGGUUUGGAGAAAGAGUGUCUGGUAAAGCAAAUAGAAAUGUUAGAGGGGAAAAUAGCAGAAGGCAGAGGGGGGUUAUGGUAACGUUAUCACAGCAAAUUAAAACCGCAGAGGAUAGUUUGGCAGUGUGAACCUAACGUGGCUCCGUGCACUCCCCUGCAGACCCUGCACUGAAUAAACAUCUCGUGUUGUUCCA